GUGCUCGCUUCAGCAGCACACAUACUAAAAUUGGAAUGACACAGAGAAGACUAGCAUAGUCCUUGUGUAAGGAUGACAUGCAAAUUUGGGAAGCAUCCCAUAUUUUG